rnacentral:rRNA from 1 species
UACGUAGGGGUGCAAGCGUUUAAUCGGAAUUACUGGGCGUAAAGCGUGCGCAGGCGGUUGUGCAAGACAGAUGUGAAAUCCCCGGGCUUAACCUGGGAACUGCAUUUGUGACUGCACGGCUAGAGUGUGUCAGAGGGGGGGUAGAAUUCCACGUGUAGCAGUGAAAUGCGUAGAGAUGUGGAGGAACACCGAUGGCGAAGGCAGCCCCCCUGGGUCAAGAUUGACGCUCAUGCACGAAAGCGUGGGGGAGCAAACAGG